rnacentral:rRNA from 2 species
AAAUUGAAGAGUUUGAUCAUGGCUCAGAUUGAACGCUGGCGGCAGGCCUAACACAUGCAAGUCGAACGGUAACAGGAAGCAGCUUGCUGCUUUGCUGACGAGUGGCGGACGGGUGAGUAAUGUCUGGGAAACUGCCCGAUGGAGGGGGAUAAC